UACGUAGGUGGCAAGCGAUACUCGGAAUCACUAGGCGUAAAGCGCAGGUAGGUGGCUUGAUAAGUCUUUUGUGAAAGCUCCCGGCUCAACUGGGAGAGGUCAAGGGAAACUGUCAGGCUAGAGUUUGGUAGGGGAUACUGGAAUUCCUGGUGUAGCGGUGAAAUGCGUAGAUAUCAGGAGGAAUACCUAUGGCGAAAGCAGGUAUCUGGGCCACAACUGACACUGAGCUGCGAAAGCUAGGGGAGCAAACAGG
rnacentral:rRNA from 1 species